UACGUAGGGGGCAAGCGUUGUCCGGAAUUAUUGGGCGUAAAGAGCUCGUAGGUGGCUUGUCGCGUCUGCCGUGAAAUCCUGUGGCUUAACUGCGGGUCUGCGGUGGAUACGGGCUGGCUUGAGGUAGGUAGGGGCAAGCGGAAUUCCUGGUGUAGCGGUGAAAUGCGCAGAUAUCAGGAGGAACACCGGUGGCGAAGGCGGCUUGCUGGGCCUUACCUGACGCUGAGGAGCGAAAGCGUGGGGAGCGAACAGG
rnacentral:rRNA from 1 species